rnacentral:rRNA from 1 species
AGGACGGAACGCUGGCGGCGUGCUUAACACAUGCAAGUCGAGCGGUAAGGCCUUUCGGGGUACACGAGCGGCGAACGGGUGAGUAACACGUGGGUGAUCUGCCCUGCACUUCGGGAUAAGCCUGGGAAACUGGGUCUAAUACCGGAUAUGACCUCCUAUCGCAUGGUGGGUGGUGGAAAGAUUUAUCGGUGCAGGAUGGGCCCGCGGCCUAUCAGCUUGUUGGUGGGGUAAUGGCCUACCAAGGCGACGACGGGUAGCCGACCUGAGAGGGUGACCGGCCACACUGGGACUGAGACACGGCCCAGACUCCACGGGAGGCAGCAGUGGGGAAUAUUGCACAAU